rnacentral:rRNA from 1 species
GGCGGACGGGUGAGGAAUACAUCGGAAUCUACUCUGUCGUGGGGGAUAACGUAGGGAAACUUACGCUAAUACCGCAUACGACCUACGGGUGAAAGCAGGGGAUCUUCGGACCUUGCGCGAUUGAAUGAGCCGAUGUCGGAUUAGCUAGUUGGCGGGGUAAAGGCCCACCAAGGCGACGAUCCGUAGCUGGUCUGAGAGGAUGAUCAGCCACACUGGAACUGAGACACGGUCCAGACUCCUACGGGAGGCAGCAGAU